rnacentral:rRNA from 1 species
UACAGAGGUCUCAAGCGUUGUUCGGAUUCAUUGGGCGUAAAGGGUGCGUAGGUGGCGCUGUAAGUCGGGUGUGAAAUUUCGGAGCUUAACUCCGAAACUGCAUUCGAUACUGCGGUGCUUGAGGACUGGAGAGGAGACUGGAAUUCAUGGUGUAGCAGUGAAAUGCGUAGAGAUCAUGAGGAAGACCAGUGGCGAAGGCGAAUCUCUGGACAGUUACUGACACUGAGGCACGAAGGCCAGGGGAGCAAACGGG